GUCAGUGACCCAUCCCAUUGAAUGGGAUGGGCUUGCGUCAAGGCGUAGGCCCGACACUGACCAGCCUCAGUCUCGCAAGAGACUCCGUUGCAAGCGAAUGUAUAGGUACCGUGGGGUGCGCGGCCAGCUCCACGCUCUACG
rnacentral:sRNA from 24 species